GAUGAACGCUGGCGGCGUGCCUAAUACAUGCAAGUCGAGCGGAGCGGGGACGGGUGAGUAACACGUGGAUAACCUGCUAUAAGACGGGGAUAACCUAGGGGAACCGGAGCUAAACCGGCUACUGAUAGAUGGAUGCGUGCUGCAUUAGCUAGUGGGUAGGGUAACGGCUUACCAAGGCAACGAUGCAUAGCCGACCUGAGAGGGUGAUCGGCCACACUGGAACUGAGACACGGUCCAGACUCCUACGGGAGGCAGCAGUGGGGAAUCUUCCGCAAUGGGCGAAAGCCUGACGGAGCCAUGCCGCGUGAGUGAUGAAGGGCUUCGGGUCGUAAAGCACUGUUAGUGGGGAAGCGGUACCUACUCAAGAAGCAACGGCUAACUCCGUGCCAGCAGCCGCGGUAAUAC
rnacentral:rRNA from 1 species